rnacentral:rRNA from 1 species
UACGUAGGGUGCAAGCGUUUAAUCGGAAUUACUGGGCGUAAAGCGUGCGCAGGCGGUGAUGUAAGACAGGUGUGAAAUCCCCGGGCUUAACCUGGGAACUGCAUUUGUGACUGCAUCGCUGGAGUGCGGCAGAGGGGGAUGGAAUUCCGCGUGUAGCAGGUGAAAUGCGUAGAUAUGCGGAGGAACACCGAUGGCGAAGGCGGCCCACUGGUCCGGUACGUGACGCUGAGGUGCGAAAGCGUGGGGAGCGAACAGG